GUAACAUUAUGGUAUGGUGGUGACCACCACCUCAUGAGGAACUGUAUUCAAGAGCUGCAGCAUUUGGAAGGUCGAGAACCACUGAUCUAGAGCAUUAUCAGCAAUUUGGACUCAUUUGGGCCAUUAGCUCUUCUUCCUGCCCACCACAGACUCUGAAACCAGCCAGGCUGAAGGAGUGGCAUGCUCCUGGCAGUGGAAGCAGGCCUGUAAUUGGCUCACUAUUGGAUUGGAUUUGGCACAAAAUGACUUCCAGGCUUUCUGCUUCCUGACAGGUUUUGCCUGUAUUAAUAUAUGUGAACCAUAUUCAUGCCUGAAGAAGAGGGCAGAAGAGGAUUGAUUAUCUGUGAACCUGGACUUACAGAACAUUGAAAGCUGUCAUGUGGGUACUAGUUACUGAACCAAGGUCCUAGGCAAGAGGAGCAAGUGCUCUUAACCACUGAGCCAGCUCCCCAACCCCUAGUUUGCAUGUUUAAAAUGAAAUGAUAUGUGUAGUGAAGGAUGGAUAUAUAAAGAAAAGAUAACAUAUAUACACAGUGGAAUAGUAUUUGGCCAUAAAAAUUGAAAAUCUGUGUGAUUUGAAGCAACAUGGAUGGAGCUGGAGGACUUUGUGUUAAGUGUUAUAAACACAAGGACACGCUGGACAGUGGUGGCUCACACCUUUAGUCACAGCACUCAGGAGGCAGAGGCAGGAGGAUCUCUAUGAGUUCAAGGCCAGCCUGAUCUACAGAGUGAGUUCCAGGACAGCCAUCGCUACACAGAAAAGCCUUGUCUUAAAACAAAAAACGACAACCCACAAAAAUGUUUUGCAGUUCUCAGAGUCCC
rnacentral:lncRNA from 1 species